ensembl:lncRNA
GAAGGAGUCCGGCCGGAUCUGGGCUCGGGUGGGUGAGAUCGUUACGACUGCGCUGCAGGAUGAGAACUUUGAGGUGGAUGGACGCAGGUGCAGGGAGAGAACCAUGCUGCUGCUCGACUAUUACAAAAAGCAGGACUUUCCCAGCCUGCGCAGCAUGACACAGCAUGACAGACACCAGGACACACAUGGAAAAACUUAUACCAGACAUUUCUGGGUUUGGCACGGAGAGGCUUUACGCUCAGAAGGAGGAUCUGCUGCACGAGGUUUUGGAGCUUGAGGCCGAGAAGAACCUGAUGGCAAGUGGUGAAGGGAAAUACCAGGAUGGAGAGAUGAAGAAGAGAACGCUAGAGGAGCUCACACUAUCCGAGCCGGACAAACCCACUGUGCUUCCAGUCGCGGCAGCGGCGCCUACAGUGUCUGGUUCAUUGGAGCCGGAGGAACAGGAGGACCUGGUCGAGCUGUCGGCGCCCACUGCCAAGCGACCAUGCCAGUGCUGCUGCCAGACGUACUCGGAGAUCCUGAGCUUCCUGGAGAAACGCUCGGAAGCCGAGCAGCGGCUGCGUGAAGAGGAAAUGGCACUCCGCAGGGAAGAGCUCGAGAUCCAGCGGAGCAAAAUCGCUCUGGAACGCGAACGACUCGGUGCUGAGAGGAAGGAACGUGAGCGGCGCUUUGAGCUGGAGAGCCAGGAGAGGCAGGUCAUCCUUGAUCUGCUCAAGGAGAAAGUUCUCAAGAGCGAGAAGAACGCUGAGUGCUGACUUUUCUGAACACAGUGCUACAUUACCAAUAGUUUUGGACUCAUUUUGCUAACCUGUUGCUAACAUUUUCCCUCACAAAGAGUUCAUUCUAACAGUAAUGGCUAUUUGGAAUAUUUAAAAGAUUAUUUGGGACAAUGUAUGUAGAUAUUGAGCCAUAAUGUAGUAGCUAGCUAACAACUAGCUAGCUAACUGGCUAAAUAAUAAUUUAUAGAUUGUAGCACUUUACAAAUUGCGUAUCCAAAACACUAGCACUUGAGUUUAGAGCUGGGUGGUAUGACAAAAAUAUCUCGCCAUGAUACAUCAUGACAUUUCAACGAUAUAUAGGUUUACUAACAAACUGCCAGCAAAACACCAGUAAAAAAAACUACUAAAAAGUAACUUUUUUC